UACGUAGGGAGCAAGCGUUGUCCGGAAUUACUGGGUGUAAAGGGAGCGUAGGCGGGAAAGAAAGUUGAAUGUUAAACCUAUCGGCUCAACCGAUAGUUGCGUUCAAAACUUCUAUUCUUGAGUGAAGUAGAGGCAGGCGGAAUUCCUAGUGUAGCGGUGAAAUGCGUAGAUAUUAGGAGGAACACCAGUGGCGAAGGCGGCCUGCUGGGCUUUAACUGACGCUGAGGCUCGAAAGCGUGGGGAGCAAACA
rnacentral:rRNA from 1 species